GACGAACCGUGCGAACGUUGUUCGGAAUCACUGGGCUUAAAGGGCGCGUAGGCGGCCCGCCGCGUCCGGGGUGAAAUCCUCCCGCUCAACGGGAGAACGGCCUCGGAUACGGGCGGGCUGGAGGGGGGUAGGGGCAGGCGGAACUGUGGGUGGAGCGGUGAAAUGCGUUGAGAUCCACAGGAACUCCGGUGGCGAAGGCGGCCUGCUGGACCCCAUCUGACGCUGAGGCGCGAAAGCCAGGGGAGCAAACAGG
rnacentral:rRNA from 1 species